rnacentral:rRNA from 1 species
ACCGAAACUAGCCCCAACUCCCACCCAACUAAACAACACGCAAAAAAUUAAUUAAAACAUUCACACAACAUAGCUAUUAGUAUAGGAGAUAGAAAAUUAACCUGGCGCUAUAGAAACAGUACCGCAAGGGAAAGAUGAAAGAACAUCUAAAGUACUAGAAAGCAAAGAUCACCCCUUGUACCUUUCGCAUAAUGACUUAACAAGACCACCUUUACAAAGAGAACUUCAGCAAAAUCCCCCGAAACCAGACGAGCUACUUACGGACAAUUUUCAAGAACCCACUCAUCUAUGUCGCAAAAUAGUGAGAAGAUCUAUAAGUAGAGGUGAAAAGCCUACCGAGCCUGGCGAUAGCUGGUUGUCCAGAACAGAAUUUCAGUUCAACUUUAAAUUUACCCAAAGAAAACUAAAUCCCCACGUAAAUUUAAACGUUACUCUAAAGAGGGACAGCUCUUUAGAUCCAGGAGAAAUCCUUAAUUAGAGAGUAAAAACUCAAGCUCCCAUGGUAGGCCUAAAAGCAGCCACCAAUUAAGAAAGCGUUCAAGCUCGACACAAACAAUAAUCUUUAAUCCCAAAACCAAACGUUAUCUCCCAUCCCACAACUGGACCAAUCCAUCCAUUAAUGGAAGUGACACUGUUAGCAUAAGUAACAAGAACACCGUUCUCCCGGCAUACGCUUAUAUCAGACCGAAUACCCACUGAUAGUUAACAAUGAGGUAAAACCAAACACCUAAUAGAAACUUACCUCAAUAACUGUUAACCCAACACAGGCAUGCACUCAAGGAAAGAUUUAAAGAGAUAAAAGGAACUCGGCAAAAACAAACCCCGCCUGUUUACCAAAAACAUCACCUCUAGCAUUAACAAUAUUAGAGGCCCUGUCUGCCCAGUGACUUUCGUUUAACGGCCGCGGUAUCCUGACCGUGCAAAGGUAGCAUAAUCACUUGUUCUCUAAUUAAGGACUCGAAUGAACGACCACACGAGGGUUUAACUGUCUCUUAUCUCCAAUCAGUGAAAUUGACCUUCCCGUGAAGAGGCGGGAAUACAACAAUAAGACGAGAAGACCCUAUGGAGCUUAAAUUUACUAACCCAAACAAACUCACUAAGCAUUUGAAAACCACCAUAAAUUUGUCCUCUGGGUUAAAAAUUUUGGUUGGGGUGACCUCGGAGAAUAACAAAACCUCCGAAUGAUUUUAACUUAGACAUAACCAGUCAAAGCAAAUAUCAACUAUUGACCCAAAUUAACUUUGAUCAACGAAACAAGUUACCCUAGGGAUAACAGCGCAAUCCUAUUCUAGAGUCCAUAUCGACAAUAGGGUUUACGACCUCGAUGUUGGAUCAGGACAACCUAAUGGUGUAACCGCUAUUAACGGUUCGUUUGUUCAACGAUUAAAGUCCUACGUGAUCUGAGUUCAGACCGGAGUAAUCCAGGUCGGUUUCUAUCUAUUUAACACUUCUCCCAGUACGAAAGGACAAGAGAGGUAAGGCCACCUCGAUACAAAGUGCCUUCAGCACAAUAGAUGAAUAAAUCUCAAUCUAAUAAACUACCACCAACCCUGCCCAAAAACAGGGCUC